rnacentral:rRNA from 1 species
ACGAACGCUGGCGGCGUGCUUAACACCUGCAAGUCGAACGGAAAGGCCCUGCUUGCAGGGUACUCGAGUGGCGAACGUGUGAGUAACACGUGGGUGAUCUGCCCUGCACUUCGGGAUAAGCCUGGGAAACUGGGUCUAAUACCGGAUAGGAGCCAUUUUUAGUGUGAUGGUUGGAAAGUUUUUUCGGUGUAGGAUGAGCUCGCGGCCUAUCAGCUUGUUGGUGGGGUAAUGGCCUACCAAGGCGGCGACGGGUAGCCGGCCUGAGAGGGUGGACGGCCACAUUGGGACUGAGAUACGGCCCAGACUCCUACGGGAGGCAGCAGUGGGGAAUAUUGCACAAUGGGCGCAAGCCUGAUGCAGCGACGCCGCGUGGGGGAUGACGGCCUUCGGGUUGUAAACUCCUUUCGCUAGGGACGAAGCUUUUUGUGACGGUACCUAGAGAAGAAGCACCGGCUAACUACGUG